GGUCCCAUCGUCUAGUGGUUAGGACGCCGGCCUCUCACGCCGGUAACGGGGGUUCGACUCCCCCUGGGAUCACCA
rnacentral:tRNA from 2 species